GGAGGCGUCGCAUAGUGGCCUAGUGCGCGGCCCUGCUAAGGCCGUGAGGGAUCCUGUCCCUCCGUGGGUUCAAAUCCCACCGCCUCCG
rnacentral:tRNA from 1 species